CACGUAGGGGGGCGAGCGUUGUCCGGAUUUAUUGGGCGUAAAGAGCUCGUAGGCGGCUCAGUAAGUCGGGUGUGAAAACUCCAGGCUCAACCUGGAGACGCCACCUGAUACUGCUGUGGCUAGAGUCCGGUAGGGGAGCAUGGAAUUCCUGGUGUAGCGGUGAAAUGCGCAGAUAUCAGGAGGAACACCAGUGGCGAAGGCGGCCAUCUGGACGGAUACUGACGCUGAGACGCGAAAGCGUGGGUAGCAAACAGG
rnacentral:rRNA from 1 species